rnacentral:rRNA from 1 species
UGGGGAAUAUUGCACAAUGGGCGCAAGCCUGAUGCAGCCAUGCCGCGUGUAUGAAGAAGGCCUUCGGGUUGUAAAGUACUUUCAGCGGGGAGGAAGGGAGUAAAGUUAAUACCUUUACUCAUUGACGUUACCCGCAGAAGAAGCACCGGCUAACUCCGUGCCAGCAGCCGCGGUAAUACGGAGGGUGCAAGCAUUAAUCGGAAUUACUGGGCGUAAAGCGCACGCAGGCGGUUUGUUAAGUCAGAUGUGAAAUCCCCGGGCUCAACCUGGGAACUGCAUCUGAUACUGGCAAGCUUGAGUCUCGUAGAGGGGGGUAGGAUUCCAGGUGUAGCGGUGAAAUGCGUAGAGAUCUGGAGGAAUACCGGUGGCGAAGGCGGCCCCCUGGACGAAGACUGACGCUCAGGUGCGAAAGCGUGGGGAGCAAACAGG